UUUGGCGUGCUUAACACAUGCAAGUCGAACGGAAAGGCCCUGCUUUUGUGGGGUGCUCGAGUGGCGAACGGGUGAGUAACACGUGAGUAACCUGCCCUUGACUUUGGGAUAACUUCAGGAAACUGGGGCUAAUACCGGAUAGGAGCUCCUGCUGCAUGGUGGGGGUUGGAAAGUUUCGGCGGUUGGGGAUGGACUCGCGGCUUAUCAGCUUGUUGGUGGGGUAGUGGCUUACCAAGGCUUUGACGGGUAGCCGGCCUGAGAGGGUGACCGGCCACAUUGGGACUGAGAUACGGCCCAGACUCCUACGGGAGGCAGCAGUGGGGAAUAUUGCACAAUGGGCGGAAGCCUGAUGCAGCAACGCCGCGUGCGGGAUGACGGCCUUCGGGUUGUAAACCGCUUUCGCCUGUGACGAAGCGUGAGUGACGGUAAUGGGUAAAGAAGCACCGGCUAACUACGUGCCAGCAGCCGCGGUGAUACGUAGGGUGCGAGCGUUGUCCGGAUUUAUUGGGCGUAAAGGGCUCGUAGGUGGUUGAUCGCGUCGGAAGUGUAAUCUUGGGGCUUAACCCUGAGCGUGCUUUCGAUACGGGUUGACUUGAGGAAGGUAGGGGAGAAUGGAAUUCCUGGUGGAGCGGUGGAAUGCGCAGAUAUCAGGAGGAACACCAGUGGCGAAGGCGGUUCUCUGGGCCUUUCCUGACGCUGAGGAGCGAAAGCGUGGGGAGCGAACAGGCUUAGAUACCCUGGUAGUCCACGCUGUAAACGGUGGGUACUAGGUGUGGGGUCCAUUCCACGGGUUCCGUGCCGUAGCUAACGCUUUAAGUACCCCGCCUGGGGAGUACGGCCGCAAGGCUAAAACUCAAAGGAAUUGACGGGGCCCCGCACAAGCGGCGGAGCAUGCGGAUUAAUUCGAUGCAACGCGUAGAACCUUACCUGGGUUUGACAUGGAUCGGGAGUGCUCAGAGAUGGGUGUGCCUCUUUUGGGGUCGGUUCACAGGUGGUGCAUGGCUGUCGUCAGCUCGUGUCGUGAGAUGUUGGGUUAAGUCCCGCAACGAGCGCAACCCUUGUUCACUGUUGCCAGCACGUUAUGGUGGGGACUCAGUGGAGACCGCCGGGGUCAACUCGGAGGAAGGUGGGGAUGACGUCAAGUCAUCAUGCCCCUUAUGUCCAGGGCUUCACGCAUGCUACAAUGGCUGGUACAGAGAGUGGCGAGCCUGUGAGGGUGAGCGAAUCUCGGAAAGCCGGUCUCAGUUCGGAUUGGGGUCUGCAACUCGACCUCAUGAAGUCGGAGUCGCUAGUAAUCGCAGAUCAGCAACGCUGCGGUGAAUACGUUCCCGGGGCUUGUACACACCGCCCGUCAAGUCAUGAAAGUUGGUAGCACCCGAAGCCGGUGGCCUAACCAUUGUGGGGGAGCCGUCGAAGGUGGGACUGGUGA
rnacentral:rRNA from 1 species